CGAAAACGAAUUCUCUCUUGAGUGGAUCCUGAGUACGACGGAGCACGUGAAAUUCCGUCGGAAUCUGGGAGGACCAUCUCCUAAGGCUAAAUACUCUCUAGUGACCGAUAGUGAACCAGUACCGUGAGGGAAAGGUGAAAAGUACCCCGGAAGGGGAGUGAAAGAGAACUUGAAACCGUGUGCUUACAAGUAGUCAGAGCCCGUUAAUGGGUGAUGGCGUGCCUUUUGUAGAAUGAACCGGCGAGUUACGAUCUGAUGCAAGGUUAAGCAGAAAAUGUGGAGCCGUAGCGAAAGCGAGUCUGAAUAGGGCGAAUGAGUAUUUGGUCGUAGACCCGAAACCAGGUGAUCUACCCUUGGUCAGGUUGAAGUUCAGGUAACACUGAAUGGAGGACCGAACCGACUUACGUUGAAAAGUGAGCGGAUGAACUGAGGGUAGCGGAGAAAUUCCAAUCGAACUUGGAGAUAGCUGGUUCUCUCCGAAAUAGCUUUAGGGCUAGCCUCAAGUGAUGAUUAUUGGAGGUAGAGCACUGUUUGGACGAGGGGCCCCUCUCGGGUUACCGAAUUCAGACAAACUCCGAAUGCCAAAUAAUUUAACUUGGGAGUCAGAAUGUGGGUGAUAAGGUCCAUAUUC
rnacentral:rRNA from 1 species